UCUGGCUCAGGAUGAACGCUGGCGGCGUGCUUAACACAUGCAAGUCGAACGAAGCAGUUAUCACGAUCCCUUCGGGGUGACGAUUACUGACUGAGUGGCGGACGGGUGAGUAACGCGUGGGUAACCUGCCUUGUACAGGGGGACAACAGUUGGAAACGACUGCUAAUACCGCAUAAGCGCACAGUGUUGCAUGACACGGUGUGAAAAAGAUUUAUCGGUACAAGAUGGACCCGCGUCUGAUUAGCUAGUUGGUGAGGUAACGGCCCACCAAGGCGACGAUCAGUAGCCGACCUGAGAGGGUGACCGGCCACAUUGGGACUGAGACACGGCCCAAACUCCUACGGGAGGCAGCAGUGGGGAAUAUUGCACAAUGGGCGAAAGCCUGAUGCAAGCGACGCCGCGUGAGCGAAGAAGUAUUUCGGUAUGUAAAGCUCUAUCAGCAGGGAAGAUAAUGACGGUACCUGACUAAGAAGCACCGGCUAAAUACGUGCCAGCCGCCGC
rnacentral:rRNA from 1 species